UACGGCGGGUGCAAGCGUUAAUCGGAAUUACUGGGCGUAAAGCGCACGCAGGUGGCUGAGUCAGUCGAUUGUGAAAGCCCUGGGCUUAACCUGGGAAUUGCAGUCGAUACUACUCAGCUAGAGUAUGGGAGAGGGCAGUGGAAUUCCCGGUGUAGCGGUGAAAUGCGUAGAUAUCGGGAGGAACAUCAGUGGCGAAGGCGGCUGCCUGGCCCAAUACUGACACUCAGGUGCGACAGCGUGGGGAGCAAACAGG
rnacentral:rRNA from 1 species